GUCAGAGAAGAGUGUGUUAAAAAGUGGUAAAGAGAAACCUAUUAUGCCAAGUAGAAAAUGUAGGGAUGACGGGAUGAUAAUUUCACCUGAACCUGACAAGGAGCCUAAUUCCCCUCCCCGAUGAGGUUAGGGAUAGGAGUUCCCCAUCCUCAAAAUUUCCUUGCAGAAACGAAGAUGAGAUGGGAACAUAUUCUUUCCCCCGGAAGGGAGCAGGGAAUAUGUCCCCACCCCGCCUUGCCUUGUUGCCAUUCCUAAUAAGAGGACAACUAAAGAACAAGAAACCAUACAACACACUAAAAGUGUCUUUGGAAAGCAGG